GACGAACGCUGGCGGCGUGCUUAACACAUGCAAGUCGAGCGGUAAGGCCCUUUCGGGGGUACGACGAGCGGCGAACGGGUGAGUAACACGUGGGUGACCUGCCCUCAGCUCUGGGAUAAGCCUGGGAAACCGGGUACUAAUACUGGAUAUGACUCCAUGACGCAUGUUGUGGGGUGGAAAGCCUUGUGCGGCUGAGGAUGGGCCCGCGGCCUAUCAGCUUGUUGGUGGGGUGAUGGCCUACCAAGGCGACGA
rnacentral:rRNA from 1 species